rnacentral:rRNA from 1 species
UAUGGCAGCUAUAGCAUGGGUGUUCACCUCUUCCCAUUUCGAACAGAGAAGUUAAGCCCCAUAGCGCAGAUGAUACUAGUGUUAAAACUGGGAAAGUAUGUCGCUGCCAAAU